rnacentral:siRNA from 1 species
UUUGCAGGAGUUAGUGAUCGA